UAAAAAGGGGCUAGACCAAAACAGUGCUAUACAAUCCGCUUUUUCUUAUCUUCAGAAUAUCAACACACACACAAUUAUUGAACUCGAAGAAAUUGACGGUGAAUCAAUUGAGGAUAUGAUGAAUAUCCAAUAAAUUCCUUCUCCUCUCCUAGCUUAUUGACCUCAUUACUAAGUAAUGGCCCUUAUCAUUCUUUCAUACAUUAAUACCACACAUAGACAUAAACAGAGGGGGAAACGGAAUAGAAUAGGAGAUUGAGAAUAGGGGAUUAGAUCUUAGACUGAACGAAAACAGUGAGAAAGAGGGGAAACGAAAAGCAGAAUCACAAAAUUAUUGGGGGAAAAUCUCCAAUCUCGCCCCGCAGCCCGAUGUUUGCAUUCCAGUCGAGUUGGGUCUGUUCAGUUCCGUUCGAGAUUCCGACGAGUUUCCGGCGCUGCUACGUUACUUGUUCUUUCCGUCAAUUAGCAUUUUCAGAUUGUAAGUCAUUUUAAUUUAAGAUUAAUAGAGGUUUAUCUUUUCUUCUCCCUCUAUUUCAUAUGUUAUUCUUAUGUGAUUAGUUCUGUGAAGAAUUGGAUUUCAUGGUCGUUUUCUUUGUGUUCACCACUGCACCACCCCUAAGUUUUCAUUUGUAAUUUCCUUUAUUUGUCCGUUGAUUAGUGCUUGUUUGGUUAUGAUGCCGAAUCUGGUUCUGGCUUUAAAUCAUUGGCUUAAAGUAAUGUUGUUAAUGAGUAUUUGUAUAUAUGUGUUUGACAAAUUUGAGUUGAUAUGCUUCAUUUUCAUGAAUGUUUGUUUUAUAAUAACAUACAUUAUCAGUAGUAUAUGCCUUAACUAUUGAUGUUUGGUUGUUACUGUGAAUUAACUUUCCUAUAUGGAAUCAAAAUAGCAUAUGCCUUAACUUUUAAUUCUUUUGUAAGAAGUGGUUAUUCUUUAAAUAGAUGUCUUAGGCUAUUUCUGCACUUAGCCAUGUUGAUAUAGAGAAAAUUUCAACGCCUUUCAUAACAGUUUGUCUCUUUUGCAAUCUUUGAUAUGAUAUAAGAAGCUGAAUGUUAGUGGAAAUGCUCUAGGCACGUUUAAUCUGUGAUUGUGUACGUGUUCGCGUGACAUAAUUACAAUUUAAAAAAUUAAUUCGGAGUAUGCGUUCGCGGAACUUCGAUCAAACCUUUCUUAAUAGUAAAUUUGUUAUUAAUAUAGUCCUAUUUAAUUAAUUUUGGUUCAUAUAGUCCGAGGCAUGCCGUGCCAAAUGAAAUCUUAAAAUGCAUGGCCCUCAUAUAAAUUCCACACCCUAGAUAUAAAAACGAUAAAUGUUUGUAGUUUGCUUUAGACACGUCUAAUAUACUAUCGUGGUUGUGGACACGUUCGCAUGAUAUGAUUACGAUUUCUAAAAACAAAACAAGUGUAUGCGGUUGUGCAACUUUGGUCAAAUUUUUCUAAUUAUAAUAAAGUGUUAUUAAUUCGGGGCACGUUUGCAUGACAUGAUUUUCGACACACCAAACAAAUGGGUACACACGCAUGUGACCCGUUUCAAGAUAAUUUUCUUAACUUAAAAGCGGUCAAAGAUAAAUGCACGUAGUUUCUAAAAUCAGUAAUUAAACAAUUUGAUUAAACCAAGUAUGAUCAAAACGACCGUGCUAGUAUCAGGAACUAGGAAUGCCUAACACCUUCUCCCAGGUUAAAAAAUUUCCUUACCUACAUUUCUGUGUUCGCAGACUGUAAAACAAAGUCAACCUUUUCCUUGAUUCGGGAUUUGAACAGGUGACUUGGGACACCAUGAAUUAUCUCAAGUGGAGACUAAAUUUAAUUAAUAAAUAAUUCCAUUUUGAUAAUCACUUUAAGUUUGAAAAAACUCCCUCAUAUUCCCCUUUCGGGGUUGUGUGAAAAAAGAGGUGUGACAUAUAUGCUUGUAUUGCUUAUUUGCAGGUAAACCGGCGAGCAACGACCAUUACGACAAGGGCGAUUUUGCUCCAGUUCCCAGAGCCCUUCUAGCCCUUAACCAUUCAUUCUACCUGAAUAUUGCGUCUGUCCUUGAAAAGGUCUCCAUAGGCAUACUCCGCCGAGGGAUCUUGAUCUACAUAUAGCCUGAUUCCUGUAAGACCCAGGGAUAUGUAGGUAGCUCAGAAGCUGUCACGAUCCCAGUUCGCCCUCCGUGAACAUGUCGUGACACCUACGACUAGGUAAGCCUAACAAUGCAGAAACAAAUAACUUGCAGAAAUUAUAACUAAAAACCAAGAUUUAACAAGAUGGAACAAAAUAUAAAAUGCCACUCGGCAUGUACAGCGCAAUAUCUCAAACUUCUACAAUACUAUUCGAAAACUCGAAAACUUAUGGGAACACAAGCGGAAGGAAAUAUAGUACAAUGCUCGAACUCCAAAAUGAUUAAAACGAUAAUAAGAAGGAAGGCUAACUGCUAAAAGAUAGAAUAAGAUAGAGACUUCUUGUUCUGCGGACGCGGCACAUAUACCUCGAAGUCUCUGCUAGAUCUCUCCGCCUCAAGGGUGAUACGCCUGGGCAGUGGUAUGUGGAUCUGCACAUGAAAAUCAUGCGCAGAAGGGGCAUGAGUACACCAUAGCGGUACUCAGUAAGUGACAAGCCUAGCCUCGAUCGGGUAGUGACGAGGAAGGUCAGGGCCCUACUGAGGUUAAACAUAAUAAUAAGUUUCAACAGUAUGUAAUAAACAAUAUAAAUGAGAACAACAAUGAAAUAAGACAGGUUAUGCCAGGUAACAAUAAUUACACAACAUUAUAGAGUGAACUCAAAAAAUCAUAGCAGCUCAAUACAAUAGUAACACGAGGAUCUCCCAGGAUACCAUCCUGCAGUCCCUUUCAUCAAUUGUCCGGUGGAUCUCCUAGGAUACCGCCCUGUAGUCAAUCAUAUGUAUAUAUAUCCAAAGGACCUCCUGGGAUACCGUCCCGUACUCCAACUAUCAAUGUGCAGGGAUCUACCGGAACCCCGGUCAGUAAUCCCAAAUAUGAAUACCCCAUACUGGGGGAAUCUACCGAGUGUAUUCCCGUAGUUCCAUAUAACUGUGCAAGGGAAUCUAUAGGGAAUCUAACUCGUAGUCCCAAAGUAAAUGUGCAGGGAGAUCUAUCAGGAACCUAACCCGUAGUCCCAUAGUAAACAGACAAGGGGAGAGCUACCGGAAUUCCACAUCUGUAGUCCCAAUAUAAAUGCGCAGCAACAACAAGAAGAUAUUUAGGAAAUGAAAUUACAGAUCAAAGCAACAAGUAGUCCUAGCCUAACAUGCUUCAGAUGAUGCAAUCAAGGCAAUUUAAACAAAUAAGCAAUUUAAGUCAACUAAAAAUGUUCUUCUAACUAGCAACACGAUACAUUUGGAAGUGUAAUAAAGCAUGAAGGGAAACAUGCUAAUUAGUACUUUAAAAAAAUCGGAUUUUCAAUAAAUUGCACAAGUACGCACUCGCCACCUCGCGCACAAGGCAAUUCAAUUACCAAAUAUCAUAUCCUAAGGAAAAAAGUCCCCCACACAAGGUUAGACAAGCCACUUACCUCAAACCGGCUUAAAAUCAACUAGAAAUGACGUUUUUGCCAUGAGUAUCCAACUCCAAAUGGCCCAAAUCUAUUCAAUUCAAUUACAUAUCAUAAAUAACAUCUUAAACAACUGAUUCUACGAUUUAUUUCAAAGCAAAGACGCGAAAUUAGGUAAAAUGACCAAAAUGCCUCUCAAGCGAACGUCUUGAAAUAAGAUGAAACUUAUAUUUUCAGAAAACUCGUACUCUCACAACUCUAUACAUAACAAGAGCACAAAAAUCGGAGUCCAAAUGUCCCCUCAAACCUCAUUUAAAGGCCUCUUAAACUCAAGCCCUAAUUAACUUUUUUUCCCAAAUUUCUCACCAUUAAUCAUGUAUUUAAUCACAUAAAAACGAGUUAUGAAGUCAAAAAUGUUACUUCCAAGUGAUUCCCCUUGAAUCCUUCUUCAACCAACUUCAAAAAUCUCUCAAAAAGAUUAACAAUGGAGUAUAUGAGCCCCAAACUCAUGGAUGAAAUGUCUUAAAACAUUCUGCCCAUCACAGACCGUUCCUUCAUCGUGAUUGUAGCACAAACCUCGCGAUUGUGAAGAGCAAAUAUUCAACACCUCAAAAAUCCACUAUACGAAUGCGACCAAGCCCCUGCAAACGUGAUGCUUCAGCUUUAUGCACCUAUGCGAACGCGAUCCCACAUAUGCGAACACGAAUCCUAACCUUCCGCGAACGUGAGCCCUCAAACGCAAAUGCAAAGGUCAAUAUCCUGGCCUUCCAAAUUCCUUCUAUGCGAUCGCAACUCACCCCAUGCGAUCUCGAAGAGCCAAAUCUUCUGCAACAGUUGUUUCAAAAUCUGCAACUUUUCAACUUUGAAAAUGGACCGAUUGACCAUCUGAAACUCACCCGAGGCCUUCGAGACCUCAACCAAAAGAAUCAAUACAUCCUAAAACCUCAUUCAAAUUUGUUCCAAUUAUCAAAACACCUCAAACAAUAUCAAAUUACCCAAAACUCAUCGAAUCCAAGCCUAAGUUUGUUAAAAGCCUCCAUAAUACCUUUCGAUCAAAAACCCAACCAAACCACGUCUGAAUGACCUGAAAUUUUGCACACAUAUCCCAAAUGGCAUAACGGAGCUACUACAACUCUCAGAAUUCCAUUAAAACCCUCAGAUCAAAAUCUCAUUAUCGAACCUGAAACUUCCAAAAUUCAAACAUUGACAUUUCAAGCCUAAAUUAGCUAUCGACGUCCAAAACACAAUCUGAACACGCUCCUAACCCGGAAUUCACCUAACGAAGCUAACGGAACCAUCGAAUUUUCAUUCCGAGGCCAUCUUCAUAUUUUUAUGACUGUGGACAACUUUUCAACACUUAAACUCUCAUUCUGGGACUAAGUGUCGCUAAACUCUCCUAAACUCAAAAUCGAAUGUCCCGACAAAUCAAAUUAGCGUAAAUAAACUUGGGGAAAGCAGUUAAUAGGGAAUCGGGGGGUUAAUUCUUAUGACAACUGGCCAGGUCAUCACAGAAGCUAGAGCACGGCCAAACCUCCUCAAACCAUUUCGUUCAGUCAAAAUUGGGCAUCAUAUCUUUACCCGACAACUCUUUCAUCCUUCUCGGGUAAAGAAGUGCAGCUUUUGAUACCCAAUUUUUCCUUGUAUUUUUUAAAUAUGUAAAAUACCUUCAAAAUAGCCUAAAUAGGCAUGUAUAAUUACGUCCCAAGAUUUUAUAUUUUUCUUAAUUUUUCAAAAAAAUUUAAACAAAUUUACUACUAUAUUUUAUCAAGAAAAAUCCAAUAAUUAUUCCCAAAAUUAUCAUUUUGGUGAUUCAUUUAUUGAAUUCUCGUAUUUAUACUAAAAUAUAGAUAACAUAGUUUUUGCAUAUUUUUACAAAUUUAUUUAGAAUCUAAACUGUUUAUAACUGCAAUACUAGCCAUUUUUAAGUUUAAACUUGUCUUAUAUUUAUAAAAUGGGAUUGUACAUUUUAAAAUUGUUAAUUAUAUAUUAUAUGUCAUCUUAGUGCUUUUAAUUAGUUUUUAGAAAUUUAGUUACUAUUUUUUAUAAAUUAAAUGGAAAAAAGUGGCUAUUUAACGUAUAGCCAGCUGGCUUUCUAACUUAGCCUAAAUUAAACUAACCCACACCCCAAUUAAACCCAACUUCAGACACAAUUAACCAACCCAACUACUUAAUUUACCUGACUCACAGCCCGUUUCAACGACCUGUCUGGCUUCCCCAUUUAAUCUAGGUCAUUGAUCAAAAUGAUCAACGGCCAUCUUUUAACCUUUCCAUUUUAAUCACUAAUUACCCCCCCCCAAACCCUACUCAUUUGGCAUCAUCAACUGCCUUUGAACCCCUCAUUCUCUCAAACUCUCUCGAAGCUUCUCAAACCCUAGCCGCAUUACACCACUUCCGUCCUAAAAACCACUGAAAUCCAUGGCUUUUAAGGCUAUAAAGUCUUAUACCAACCUCAUAUGGCUCCGACACGCCUGGUUAUUGUGGUUUUGAGGUCUGACCAUGAAGAAGCUUAGUCUAGACUUCAAUUGGCUCUUCUAUGGCCGUCUCAAACCUCGCUCUUGUCAGCCAUGGUCAUUCGAGCCUAAUCUCGACUUCUCCGGCUCAGAUCAGUGACUUUUUCAAGUCUUUCUCACUACUUGGGUUCUUCUGAAACCCUAACCCUUCGAGGUUAUUUCGAUUCUUUUAGAUCCGUUGUAUAUGUGUGUUUUCUUUAAGCUCUUAUGCAUUUUUCUCAAAGUUCUUUCAAAAACUACACCUUCCGAGCCUUCAUCUUUUUCCGAUGUAGGGUUUCGUCAAGUUGUACUUUAAAAUUUCUCUGAUCUUUAGCAUAUUUUACUGUAUAUGUGUAUUUCUUAUGUGUUUCUUCUACUGUAUUUCCUAUAUGUUCUUCUAUUAUGCUACUACAUUUCUUGUGUAUUUAAUUUUACUAUAUUUCUUAUGUGGUGUCUUCUACUGUAUUUUUUAUGUUGUUUCUCCUACUUUGAUUUUUAUGUGUUCCUUUUACUGAAAGAUGCAUGUUAAAAGUAGCAAUUUCUUUCUGAUUUCCUAAAGUUGUUUCGUCAGUAUUUUUUGCCUUGAUAACUAGCCCUUUCAAUCUCUACACUCGAUUGAUGGCAAAAACCUUGAAAUUUGAGGUUUCCUUCGAGUAUUGAGACCGUUGGUUAUGUGAUUUGCUUGAGCUUCACCUAUGAACUUGCUUGAUUUCCUGGACUUAUUCGAGUUCCUAGAGUUAUUUUAUCUACUGCUUCAUUAAGUCUCAAAAUCAUUGUCUCAAUCUUUUUUUCAUGUGAUUAUGGCUUUUGCUAAACUAUAUAAGACCUUUACUUGACCCCUUUUUUGCACGCAAUCUGAUACUUUCUCUUCUGAAUUACCAUAUUCCUAUAGUCUACUGCGUACUUAUUUUUCAAUUGCAUGACACUUUCACUUUGUCCUGCAUUCAGUCUCGCAUGCCUGUUACUUGUGCACUCUUUAUAUGUUUUGAUCUUCCCUUCUAAGUGGCCUGCAGCUGUGAUUGAUUUCAGACCUCCUUUGUAUAAGGUUGAUUGAUUUCUUUCCAUAUUUGUUGACUUCCCUGUUAAUCGAUUUGAGUCAAAGGAUUUCCUUAGUUUUUCUGACUGGAUUCAUUCAUGGACCAAUGCUUACAAAUGUCUCUGACCUCCUUGAUUUCAUGCAUACUGAUGGAUCCUUACCUUAUUUGAUUUAACCGUGUAUUUCAAACUUCUUCCCUUGAUUAAAUCCCCUAUGUAUUUACCCCUAAUGACCUACUUUUCACAAGAUGUUAAUUUGAUUUCUUUCCAUAAAUAGUUUUUACCGUUUGAAUCUGAAUUCCUGAAUUAAAGGAAGUCUUGAUUCUUAAUUGAUAUUCAUUUUCUUAAUGGUUUUCUUACCUUGUUUCUGUCUAUUCUUCACAUUAUAAAUACACGACUCUUUCAUUGACACAAGAUACGAUGACUCUAAGUUUUCUAUACACAAUCGCUCGUGGUUUUCUGAAUUUAGAGUCACACUCAAAAAAUAGUCUUUCUUGCUCCUUGUACUGUGGCCUGUUUGCAAGUCCUGCUGCCUGCUUCUUUCUCUAUUUGCUUUCCAUAAAUUGGUAUGUUCUAAUUAUGAUUCAGCAUCACAACUUUGUGUUUAUUUAACACCUUUUCCUCUUAACUGCCUACUUAUGUGUUUGAUUCAGUGUGUGUUAGCAUUUUCCUUCUACCUUUUCUCCCUCUUUUGUGUAUUCUAAGUUGUUUGACACCGAUGCAUGUUUGAGGAAUGAAAACAUUAAAAUAUUGUUGUCUAUGACUCAAAUUUGGUCCCCUGGGAUCAUAACCUUAUAUUAUCAUUGUAUGUUGUAUAUCCUAGUUGGUUUUAUGAGCAUAACAACAUUCCCCUAUUAUUGUGCACGCCCAAAAUCAAUUAAUGCGCAAGCAUAAGGGCUCCCUACCAUCAUUUCCCAGUCUCUGACCCUAUUUUGUGUAAAUUUAUCACUUCUGUAGCUAUUUCCUUGUACCCUUUUCCCUUUUCUUUACUUCCCUAGUCCUUAAAGUUUUGUUUCUUCACUUGUACACUCUCUUAGACUUUAAGUUAUGCCCCCUAUUGUGAGCCUUGCCCUGUGACCCUUUGAGCUUUUUCAAAACUUGGACACUUGAAGGUGGCCCUUUUUCACUACACUUGUUCCAAUCUGAUAAUACAUUUGUGUGUGAGCAUUGCACGGAAUCCCUUUGAGGCUCUUAGGGAAUUUUGACACACUCAUAUGGGAGAAAGGCUUUGGAUCGUGAUCUUGUGGAGUUGGUUUACCACAUAUUUUAGACAUGAAGUCGAAUCAGGCUCUCCUUUGUUGUACUUGUAUUUGUAUUUUUUAUGUAUUUUUUUACUUUAAUCUGAGCUGUAAUAACUUAUAAUAAACACUUGGGAAAAUCUAGUGAAAAAGGGAGGGUAACUAUGCAUGCAAAGGGUAGAUAUUCAAAUACAUAUAGAAAUCAUGCCUACUGGUCAUUCUGAAUUCUGCAUGUCCAACUAGGUAGAUAUUCAAAUAUAUAUAGAAAUCAUGCCUACAGGUCAUUCUGAAUCCUGCAUGUCCAACUUUCAUAUAGAAAUUAUGCCUAUAGGUACUUUUAAAUAAUUUCUGCAUAUAAAAAUACUGUUUAUAGGUUCUUAACUUAAUUUCUGCAUUUAGAAAUCAUGUUCAUAGGGUUCUUAAAGUAAUUUCUGCAUUUAGAAUAUAUGUUCAUAGGGUUUCGAAUAAUUUCUGCAUAUAGAAAUCAUGUUCAUAGGGUUUCAAUCAAUUUGUGCAUAUAGAAAUUGUAUCUAUAAGUACAUUAGAAUAAUUUCUGCAUAUAUAAAUCAUGUUCAUAGUAUUUCAAACAAUUCAACACCUAGAUAUCAUGUUCAUAAGUCUUUAAAACAAGUUUCCUGCAAUUUAUACCAUGUUUAAAAUCAACUAUGCGUAGACACCAUGCCUAUAGGAACCCUCAAUCGAAUUUACGCUACUUCAUAUACAUAUGGAACUAAAAGUGGUAAUAAUGGGUACUAUAAAAUUCAUAACCUUCGUUAAAAAUGCCUUUCUUUUAAUUGUCUGACUCCCUUUUGUAAAACCAGUACAUAUUCGGUUCAAUUUAGACCUUGUUGUUGCAUUGCUCUCUGAGUUCAGCAGAUGCCAUGCUUAUAGAAUCCUUGUCCGUCACUUAGGGAAGCCUUAGGGUAAAGUUUUCAAUUAAAUCAGUUAUGUUAAUAAGCUACAACCAGCAGGCAAGCCUGAGUCAGGCUUCCUAUCUGAAUUAUGUGACAAAUCAGUCUGCCUCAACCUUUACGUUCUCUCAUGUUGAGUACUGAAUCAGACCUUAACUAGUAUGUGUAAGUCAUGCUAAAUUAUGUGCUUCUUUGUGUAAAAGGGUGUAUUUGAGCCUUUACUUGUUAUAUGUUUUCCCCAAACUUACUAUACAUGUUUUAUAUGUUGCCUUAUAUUUUUAACCUUUAUAACAACGAAUAAGCCUAAUAUCACUCCCCUUUAGGAAUAGUAGCACUAAAUGCAUCCGGAACUGAUCGGAUUGGGAUUGAUAAUAGCAUGUAAUAAGUAAACGAGACCAUUACGCGUUUUAGUACCUUAAUGGGUGGGAAGUGUGAGGCCCGUGAAAGGUUUUUUUUCUAGAAACCCAAAGGCUCGUUGUGCCAACUAGGAGUACGUGUUAGAAAUGUGUAAAAUUCUUCACUUCAAGCUCGCGAGCCGCGGUUCAGACCCCUUUGGACUAAGCUAUGCAUUAAUAAAUCAAGAAAUUAUGUUUUGCAUAAAAGUGUCAUUCUACAAUCAAGAAUAUGAUCGCAUAUCAGGUAUGCGGACAACAUUUCAACCACAAAGUGAAUCAGUGUGGGCCAAAUUUGAAGUCAACUAUAAGGUCAAUUAUGCGAUCGCAUAAUCAAAAUACAGAUCACAUAGACGUAGCAUAAUUUCCUAAGGAUUUUGUGAAGGACAGUUUUGCGGUGCAUUAUUGGACAGCAGAGCAUGAAUGCGGACCACAUUCUUGCUGCAAACCCAAUCACCACGCCCUGUUUUUUGGAGUAAUUUUGCGGUCCAUUCUGCGAACACCAUUUCCACUUUGCGAUUGCAAAAUGCGUACGUAAAUCUGACUCAGGCUCCUAUUUAAUAAAUUUUAAAAUCCAACCCUACCCCGUUAAAAACACCACAACUAACUAUCUUAUGUUAUUUUUCACAAUAUAGAGAGAGGGGGAGGGAGUUCUAGAGUGAGAAGGAGUGACAUGCAUCAAGCUUGCUCUAAAUCCAUGACGAAUUCCUUGAAGGUUGCUAAUUAAAGCUACUAGGUCUUCCUCCUAACUGGUAAGUAAUUGUGCCCUCAUCAAUAAUUUCAAGCCUUUUUGUUAAAACAAGUAAUUAGUUAGAGGGUACAUGGGGUAAACGGCUAGAAAUCUUGCAUGCAUAAGUAACAAUGGGGUAAGGGAAGAUCGUGACAUUAAAAGUCGGUAAUUAGGGUAGAAAGUUAUAAAAUCUCUCACAAAAAGGAAUCAAAAAUAACAAUAUACGCCUAGUGCUUGUCAAUAUGCUCAAGUGAGCUAGGAUCUUAGUCGUAUCUCUAACUCUUGGCUAACUUCAUGGCUCUUCGUAAAAUAGAUCGAAGUUUCUAGGGAAUUCCGAGAAUUAUUGUAAGGCGUUAAGGGAGACUCCACUAUGGUAUUUAUGGCUAACCCUUUUCUUUUAGUGUUGAAUUUUAGUGUUUAAUAGUUGGCAUGAAAUUUCAAAUUGAUUCUACUUGGCUGAUUGCAUUCAUGUGCUGAGUGACGAACUUCCAUUCCGCAUUAUUCUAUGUGUUUGUUUGUAAUCAUGGUAAUUGACAAGGUGAUCAUGUCUUUCAAGAGUUCUUUAUUUCUCUAUGAAUGUGCAUUGCUUGUAAGAUAGCCCUUGAUAAAUGAAUGAUGAAAUUACAUGAACAAACUGAUAAAAGGCAAGGCUUGUGUUGUGUUGAUGAAUUUAAGUGCCAAAGGAGCAAAUAAAUGAAAAGAGGUGUUAUACCCGGUGUGGAAAAAGAUGGAAGGAAAUAGGAACAAAAGAGUAAUUAAAAGAGGUUAUCUCUCAAGUGAGAUGGCUUAGCCGAACGGGCUGAGAUCGGACGCCAUGUUGUACACAUGUUGGUAUUUAAAUUGGGUUCUGGAAUAUUAUUGUGAAUAUGGAUAUGUCUCACUUGAGUUAGCUUAGACGUUCGGGCAGAGACCGGACUUCGUGUUAACAAUCCCAUGGUGGUAUUAUAUUUUAAAGACAUGGUAUUUGGCAUUAAAGAAUAUUAACCUAAAAGAUAGAAAAAAAACUUAACCAACACCCAUGCAAGACUUAUUUGGUGCUCGACUUGAAUUUCUGUGAUGUAAUUGUUGAUGAUGUAAAUGUUUGUUUCCAUUGUUUCACUGUUCAUCCUAUUAGAAUUGGGUUUGCCAUAUAUACUAUUACUAAUCGAUAGUACUAACGUCCUUUUUUACGAUGGCUAUAUCUUUGAAUGGAUGUAGGUGGUUCCGCUACAGAUAAUGCCGAUAGCAGAUAGUGGUACACCCUUG
rnacentral:lncRNA from 1 species